rnacentral:rRNA from 1 species
CCUACGGGUGGCUGCAGUGAGGAAUAUUGGUCAAUGGGCGGAAGCCUGAACCAGCCAAGUCGCGUGAGGGAAUAAGGCCCUACGGGUCGUAAACCUCUUUUGCCGGGGAGCAAGGGCGGGGACGUGUCCCGGCCCGGAGAGUACCCGGAGAAAAAGCAUCGGCUAACUCCGUGCCAGCAGCCGCGGUAAUACGGAGGCUGCGAGCGUUAUCCGGAUUUAUUGGGUUUAAAGGUUGCGCAGGCGGAAGAUCAAGUCAGCGGUAAAAUUGAGAGGCUCAACCUCUUCGAGCCGUUGAAACUGGUUUUCUUGAGUGAGUGAGAAGUAUGCGGAAUGCGUGGUGUAGCGGUGAAAUGCAUAGAUAUCACGCAGAACUCCGAUUGCGAAGGCAGCAUACCGGCGCUCAACUGACGCUCAUGCACGAAAGUGUGGGUAUCGAACAGGAUUAGAUACCCGAGUAGUC